AGCAGCCGCGGUAAUUCCAGCUCCAAUAGCGUAUAUUAAAGUUGUUGCAGUUAAAAAGCUCGUAGUUGAAUUUCGGGAUCAAGUCGUCGGUCGUGCCUCGGUACGCACUGGUGACAUUGGUUUCUCCCUUCUGAAGAACCUUGAUGUCAUUAAUUUGGUGUCUUGGGGAAUCAGGACUGUUACUUUGAAAAAAUUAGAGUGUUUAAAGCAAGCCCACGCUUGAAUACAUUAGCAUGGAAUAAUGAAAUAGGACGUUUGAUUCUAUUUUGUUGGUUUCUAGGAUCGACGUAAUGAUUAAUAGGGAUAGUUGGGGGCAUUAGUAUUCAAUUGUCAGAGGUGAAAUUCUUGGAUUUAUUGAAGACUAACUACUGCGAAAGCAUUUGCCAAGGAUGUUUUCAUUGAUCAAGAACGAAAGUUAGGGGAUCGAAGACGAUCAGAUACCGUCGUAGU
rnacentral:rRNA from 1 species